AUCGCUUUAUAGCCUAGUGGCGUCAUGGUGGUGGGAUAAGACUUUAAAACCAAUAGGUCUUGGGUCCGAUUCCCACAAGGGGAUU
rnacentral:tRNA from 1 species